rnacentral:rRNA from 1 species
UACGUAGGGGGCAAGCGUUGUCCGGAUUUAUUGGGCGUAAAGAGCGUGUAGGCGGUUAGGUAGGUCCGUUGUGAAAACUCGAGGCUUAACCUCGAGCUGUCGGCGGAAACCAUCUGGCUAGAGUCCGGAAGAGGAGAAUGGAAUUCCCGGUGUAGCGGUGAAAUGCGUAGAGAUCGGGAGGAACACCAGAGGCGAAGGCGGCUCGCUGGACAGUUACUGACACUCAACUACGAAAGCGUGGGGAGCAAACAGG